rnacentral:lncRNA from 1 species
AGCCAAGCCCACAUACUUGACGGAUAAAUGUUAGGGUGUCUCAUUGGGGAAGAAGAAGAAGUGGAUUAAGCCGAUGCAUAGUUGCUUCCGUGUUGACGUCAAUGCUUUGUUUUAUCUAGAUCAGGGAGCGUAUGGGGUGGGAAUCAUAAUUAGAAAUUAUGAAGGCACAAUGGUGUUUUAUCUAUGACACUCAGCCUAUCUCAAGUGCUAUGAUGGCUGAAAUCUUGGCUGUGGUACAAGGGAUUAACCCACUACACAACUAACCUUGUGUACACAAUUCUCGCGCGACGUGUUAGGCCAGCUCGAUGAAUCUCGAUGAAUUAAGAAAUAGCAUUAACCUGAUACAAAACGUGCAUAGAUAACAUUUCAUGGUUAGUAUACAGUUCAUAAAGCAUUUGCGAUUUUAUAUAACUCAAGCAUAAUUUUUGAAAAUAAAGCCCACCUUGAUAGGACAAAGCCUGAAGUUCAAACGUAACUCGUCUCGAAAACGCAGUGCUAUUCCUCUUGGUCAACUGAGCCUACAAGAUAAUCUAAUCUUAAUAGGUCUCGUGAUACGAGUCUUAGUUCAAAGUAGGAUAAAGCUUACUAAUUUCUAAAUCACUAUGCCUGGGUUUUAAAACUCACUUUAAAAUCUUGAAAAUCAAUUGCUCGGCUAAGGGCACCAACAACAAAAUCCUUGCUUGACUUUUGUUGAAAUUUUUUAACUUGAAAAUAUUUUCAGUGCUUAAAUAUUUUUCUUUCAAAAUCAGAAUAUAAUUUCAUAAAUACUUUAAUCAAAUAAUAUGUGAAUCAUACUUACUAUAUGCACAUAAUAAGAAUUAUGAUGCAUUUUCUAUUACAUUAAUUACAUGAAUACAAGUAAUUAAUAGUAUAUAUGAAAGAAUAACUCUUAAUCAAUCUAACUUGAUUAAUCACAAGUCACUUAAUAAACUAAUGAUGAUUCUCAUCAUAUACUUAAUCAACACAAUUGAAUUUGAUUAAGUAUAUCAAAUCUAUAUUCUAUUCAAUUGAAUAAUUCAACUCAUUAGUCUCAACCCAUUAUUAAAAGAAUGAAGCCUAAUCGAUCAUUUGAUAUAAUACCCAAAUCUGAUUAUUAAGUAAGACCAACAAAAAUUAAAUUAUUCCCAAGAAGAGUAAAAUAACAAGCCCAGUUUCCAAAGCCCAAAUGAACACUUUCUCUCUCCUUUAAUCAAUCGGACUUCUCUCUCUGUUCACUCUCUCGAUCUCUCCAGCGCUGCCGCCUUCUCCUUCUUCCCCGGCGAAGGGCGCCGCCUUCGGCCCCCGUCACCACCGGCAUCUCCCCCUCUCUAGCUCUCUCCUUCCCUAUCUCCCUUGCCGCCUCUUUCUCCUUCUCUAUUCCUCUCAGACCUUCCACCCAUAAUUCCCCAAUUUCAGAACCCUUCUCUCUCAAUCUUAGCCCGCGAACAGCCACCGGCCUCUAUUCUCAUAGCGAGAAUCGCCGCCGCCUUCUCCUCUCCUCUGGUCGGACAGCAACGGCCCCACGACCGCCGCCGUUCUGAUUCUCACCAUCAAAACCCCAUCUCCGUCUCUAUUUCCAAAUCACUCAACAAUCACCAGGCCUAAGGCUAAGUUCACAAUUUUAUUUAAUAUGCACAAUGCUUCCUUCUAUAUCAAUUCUCCAACUAAGUGUAAAGAUUCAAGUUUUAUCGAUUUGUAAAGUUAGAUGCAUUAUUUUUAUAAAAUGGAUGGUGACUCAAAAUUGAUUUGCAGGGCUAAGAUGAGAAGAGAAGCCAACCUGGAAACCUUGAUAUUAAAGGUGCAUUGCUAUUCAGCUGAAACAACUUGCACUUGAUCUGGAAACAAUUUGAGAUUUGAGGAGGACCUCAAUGUUGGGAAAAUGAGUUGAGAAUCGAACAACUAAUUGUUAAUGUGAAAGGGUGAAGGCUUUGUAUACAUGAAAUGAAAUAAAANAAUCUUUGUUUUCUAUGUUCAAGUUUCAACUAGGUUCUACAAAUGAAAACGUGAGAAAAUGAGUAAGUUUUUUUGAGGGGUGAGAAAAUGAGUAAUUGAUUGAGCUAUUGAGGUUUAAUGGACAAUGGGCUAAAAAAUAUGGGUAUUUGAAUGAUAGAUUGGAGAAGAAAAUUUUAUGCUGGAAUCAAAGGAAGUUCUCUGCGGGGGAAAAAAGAGGUCCUUAUCAAGGCGGUAGCUCAGGCGAUGCCAACAUUUGCUAUGCAAUGCUUCAGAAUACCGGAUACUAUCCAUAAAAUAUGUAUGAUAUUUUGGUGAGGCGAUAAGGAGGAGAAAAAAUGUAUGCAUUAGGCGAGGUGAGAACGCAUGUGUGUGUCGAAACAAAAAAGAGGCAUGUGGUUCAUGGAUUUAAAGAUUUUAAACAAAGCUUUAGCCGCGAAACAUGCUUGGAGGAUGAUUUUGUAUCCACCCGUGUUUUUAAAGCUAAAUACUUCAAAAAUGAUGAUUUGAUGCAAGCUCAUGCUCUCUCGAGAUCGUCUUAUGUUUUGGCGCUCUAUUGCCUAGACGGAAAUUAGUUUUUCAAAUAUAGAUUUACCAAGAUUGAGAGGUUUUAUUAGUCACCUCACCACUUUUUUUUCCAACUCUAUUACAAGUCCACCAAAAUCAAAGUCAUAUAUUUAAGCAAGUACAAGAACAGUAGCCUAUUCCCUCCCCUGCUCUGCAGCACCAAUUUCGGCUGUCAUUCAGCUACCCUACUCUUUCAUUCCUAUCAAGCCUUUGAAGGAUCGCAGAGGACCCAUCUGCCCAUAUACAUAUACUAUCAGCCACCAUACUUCAACUGUUGAGGUACAAAAAUAGGGAAAUGUCUAUCCUAGGCUGAUACGUGGUAGGCUGGGACGUUGGAUGAGUGCCACGUCAAAAGUGAUAGAUAACUAGUUCAUUUCAUUUAAAUCAACCCAAUCAACCCAGAAAACCGGUUCAUUUCAUUUACAACCAACCCAGACCGGUACUAUAGUGCUUUUGAAUUUACAUCCAAAAAUAGCUCAUUCAGCCCCCUACACUUGACCCUUCUUCUCAAGCCUCCCAUGGAUCAAUACUCAAGUCUUCAUCCAAACUCUACUCCCUUUAAAGAAUCAGCAACAAUCCCUCUCCAUUUCUUUGCACGCCAAUACAAUCCCUCUCCAUUUCUUUGCACGCCAAUAACAGAGAGUCAAUGAGUUCAUCUUAGCUUCUGCCAAACUUAAAAGAUUUUUUUCCCAGCAAAUCUAUUAUCACAACCAGGUUCAAACACAUUCGCAAGGUAUUAUACUAUCUCAGUCAUUCAACAUGUUUCACACCAAUAAGAAUUCUGAGUAAGGCAUAAAUGACAUCAACAGACUAGAAAUUUUUAGGUGAAAUAAGUGUGCUUUAACUGAUUAGCUUUUGAACUCAAGUACCCAAAUAGAACGCUAGUAAAUAACACACAAGGACCUAUCUAUUGCAUAACUGGUGAGGGCCACAAUCAAACACCAGACCAGAUUUCAUAGUUCACCUAGUGCAGUAAUUAGUUGAACUUAAGGCUUUGUAAGCUUACGAACCUGUUGAUUCGAGUGCGGGUUAUGUUGGCUGGGGUCGGACCUUGGAAGAGUUGGGCGAGAAUGGAGACUGCGUUGCAGGGCACCGCGAAUCGACGGAGCAACGGAUGACUGCUCCGUUCACCAGAUGCAGGGAAACAACAGCGCGGUGACCCCAGUUAAGGAAGACACGACAACACGAUCGGCGUUGGGGGAUCCAACACCGACGACGACGAACGCUAUCGACUCGCCGAUCCUCGAACCACCAGCAGCGAUGGGCGGAUUCUAGGCCUCGCAGCUCACCGAUUUUUCUUGAGAUGACGACGGUUGGGCUGUACCGAACAGAGAACAGCUAGGGCUCGACCCUUACUAGAGCUACGUUAGAGAAAAUCAGAGAGAAGAGAGAACCAAGGAGGAAAUCAUGCCUAUGGCCUCGCUCGGUAACGGCGGUGAUUUCUGAUGGAGAAGAGAAUUAGGGCUCGCCCCUUUCGCCUUGAUUGAGUGCGCCAGAGAGGGUGUGAGUGAGAGAGGGGAAAAGAGAUAGAGGUUGCGAGUCAGGCGAAGGGGGAUGCCGCGUUGACGACCGGAUUCCGGCCUCGCCAGAGCUUAGAGAAAGGGAGAGGUGCUGUUCUGUAUACAGCGAGAACGAGAGAGAGAGAGAAGGUAUCAGCCGAUUAUUGAGAAGAAAGAAAGAAAGAGAGAUGGGUUGGGCUUCAGUAAUUGAUUUUUUGAUUGGGCCUCUACUGUUGGGCUGCAAUUGUUUGACUGAAAUUUAUGAUAUUAAUGGGCCAAGUCUUUAGGCCGAAUCUGUGGGGGAAUUUAUUUUCUUAAAGGGUAAUUAUAUAUAUAGCCCUCAUUUUACUCAACAUAGCCUCAAAUUUAUAAAAGAAAUACAAAUAUUAGUGAAUGUAUUAUUUUGCCCUUGUAGCCCC